CGGACCCGCCAUGGCAGGCGGAGGCGGCGCGACCCCGCCGGGCCCCCCCCGGCCCUGGAGCCGUCUCCACGCCGCGGCCGCGCGGUGCAGCCGCGACCACCAGGCCCCAUCGCAGCCCGAACGGCCCCCGGAGCCGUGGCCGCGGAGUUGGGUGAGCCCCAAGAAGGAAUCGGUGCAUCGGAUCCAGGGACGGAUCGAGUGCCCGCACAGCGCUGCCACCAACGGCGGUUACUCCCGGAAGGAGAACGGCGGCUUCUUCUGCCCGUAGGACCCCGCAAUAAAGCGCGGAGCGGAGCCGGGCUCAGUGCGCGGCCGCGGGGUUGGGGGCGGCGGGCGGAUCAGAAUCGCCUGCGCUCAGGGGCCGGCCGGGGCCAGGCCUCGCCUAUCUGAUCGACUCAUCCCGCCCGCCCGCCGCACAGCGCCCGCGGCUUCGCGGCUCCGUUCUUCUCAUCUCGGCCGGGGCCGAUCGAAUAAGAUCAAUGUGUAGGGAGAGGGCGGCACGCGCUCACACCGCACGCACUCCAACGCACUCACGCACCCCGACCCCACGCACCCGCACACGCACAGCGCGCCAACCACUCUCCGCUCGCUCUGCCCCGUCGCGCCCUUUUAUAGCCUCCUCCGCGCGGGGCACGCUGGGAAGUGCCGCCCGGCCCCUCCCCUCCACACAGCGCCCCCCGCCGGACGGAGGACCGCGGUGCCGCCCCCCCCCACCCAGCUCCGCCGACGGCAGCACGGUGGUGGCGGUGGACAGAGCGCGUUUAUUGGCACGACGAGCCCCGCCGCUCGGCCACCGGGGCACCAAAAUGCGGCCCCGCACAUGCGGAAGGGUCCUUCGCUGCCGGCCCAGCCCCCAGGACCCCUUGGCCAUGGGGAGGGGGCCGGCGGUCACUGGGAUCUUCCCUUCUCCCGGUGGUGCCGAGCCCCUUGACAAGUAACGCUGCAUGGUGACGCCUGGUGCUGCCCCACACCGGGCACAGGGACGAGGCGGACUCAGAGUCGGGCUGCAGUGGCUGCCACAGCGUCCUGGCAGGGUCACUUCACCACGAGGACGUAGAAGGCCAUCAGCACGCAGGAGAUGGCCACGGGCACGUGCAGCCGUGUGCCAAUGACGGCAGCUUUGUAGCCGACGCCCCACAGGCCGCGCUUCUCGGACAGCAGCCAGGCCCUCAGGCGCGGCACCUUCCUCAGGUAGGCGCAGGUGCACACCAACAGCAGCCCGAACACCAGCAGCCCGUCCAGCGAGUACACGUUGGUCAUGGCGGCACCGGGGGCUCUCUCUCAGCGCGGCCCCGGCCCCGCGCACACUGCGCAUGCGCACGGAAACUUCCGCC
rnacentral:lncRNA from 1 species